rnacentral:tRNA from 1 species
CGCGGGGUAGAGAAGUCUGGCAUCUCGCAAGGCUCAUAACCUUGAGAUCGGAGGUUCGAAUCCUUCUCCCGCUACCA